GGUGUUAUGGCUCAGUGGUACGGGCUUCGCUUCUCAAGCAAACGGGCCAGGGUUCGAAUCCAGGUAAGAUCA
rfam:Nematostella vectensis strain CH2 x CH6 NEMVEscaffold_310_Cont23348, whole genome shotgun sequence.